AACGAACGCUGGCGGCAUGCCUAACACAUGCAAGUCGAACGAGACCUUCGGGUCUAGUGGCGCACGGGUGCGUAACGCGUGGGAAUCUGCCCUUGGGUUCGGAAUAACAGCGGAGAAAUUGCUGCUAAUACCGGAUGAUGACGUAAGUCCAAAGAUUUAUCGCCCAAGGAUGAGCCCGCGUAGGAUUAGCUAGUUGGUGAGGUAAAGGCUCACCAAGGCGACGAUCCUUAGCUGGUCUGAGAGGAUGAUCAGCCACACUGGGACUGAGACACGGGCCCAGACUCCUACGGGAGGCAGCAGUGGGGGAAUAUUAGGGA
rnacentral:rRNA from 1 species